rnacentral:tRNA from 1 species
GAGUCGGUGGUGUAAUUGGCAGCACAACGGUCUCCAAAACCGUUAGUCUGUGUUCGAAUCGCAGCCAACUUGCCA